CCGUGGUAAGGUUUAAGUAAAGCAAUGUGAAGCAACCACUCCUAUGCAUUUGAUGAUGCGAUAUGGACCAUAAUAUUUUCGAAUGAGUUUGUGGUGAGGCUUGGAAGAGAGGGAAAAUUGUUGGUAUGCUUUUCGUCGUAGUGGCACCCAAUUGUUAAUGUUGAAGACGUAGUCGUGAUUUGUUUGCAAUUUGGGCCAUGCGAUGUUGAGUGUGAGCGAGGGUGGUCUUCAAAUGGUGCAUUAUCUAUGUGCACUCUUGUAAGGUAGUGGCGAGAGCUGGUUCUGUUGUCGUGCUCGAAAUGUAGUCUGAUAUGGAAGGUGGAGGUCGCCCAUAAAGCGCUUGGAAAGGUGUAGUAUUGAUUGCGGUAUGGUAGGACGAGUUAUACCAAAACUCAACAAGGUGUAAGUACUUGUACCAUGUCCUCGGAUGGUCACUUGCGAAGGUAAAUUUCUAAUCCUCUAUUUAUGACUUCCGUUUGACCAUCUGUUUGAGGAUGAUAGGCGGUGCUAAAUUUGAGUUUGGUGCCUUGUAGGUGAAAAUGUUGCUUCCAAAAAAUUACUGAGUAAGAGUGAGUCUCUAUCGAAGAUGAUGGAUUUGGGAAUGUCGUGCAACCUACAAAUCUCAACAGAAAACGGUUAGCCAAUUGGGAUACGGUGAAGGAGGUGGGUAAUGCUAUGAGGUGGACAGAUUUGGACAAAAGAUCACAUAUGACCCAUAUCACCGUGUGGCUAAAUGUGUUAUGAAAUCUGUGGUGAGCUCAUCCCAAAUUUGGGUUGGUGAGGGAUUGGGUUGUAAAAGACCUAAGGGUUUGUUGUUGACUUGUUUAUUUUUUUUGGCAAGGGAGACAUUGUUUGAUGAACGAUUUGACAUCUCUAUACAUCCCUGGCCAAUAUAAGGACGCGGCUAGGCGAGCCACAAUGGCUUUAAGGCCCGAGUGUCCAACAGAGGGGGUGGCAUGGAACUAGUGAAGUAUGGUGGUGUGCAGAGAUUAUAUGGAUGUUAGAUAUAGUCUUCGGUCGAGAUACAAAAGAUCGUUUUGAAAGGUAUAUUCUUUGUUUUGAGAAGCUGUAACUUUGUGUACUUCUUGUUUCCCCAAUUUUGACUGGUAAUAUUUUUUUAAUUGCAAGAGGAUUUCUAGGAUUGGGGAGGAGAUGGCCAAAAAAAUAGAAGUGGGUGACCGAGAGAGGAAAUAAACUGCUUGAUUGUGGCGGUCUGGGCGGUACAAAAUAUAAAAAAUGUAACCAAUGAGUUUGGUGGCCAUUUUUGUUGCUCUAGAGUAGAACAUGCCUUGGUAAGUAACCCCUUAAGACUUCUGUGAGAAUUUGGAAAUGAUUGUCAAUUAGGUAGUGUCUCCAUUUUUUUAUUGCCUUAGUGAUUGCGAGCAUUUCUUUGACAUGCACUAAAUUAUAAUGUAUUUUGGAACAUAGCUUCUUGCUGAAGAAAGCAAUGGGAUGACCAGCUUGGGAGAGAACUGUGCCAAUGACAGAAUUGGAGGCAUCUUUUUCAACCACAAACGAAAGAGAAAAAUCUAGAAGAUGUAGAACAAAGAGUGUAGUUAGGAAUUUCUUAAAUUGUAAAAAGGUCUUUUGUGCCUCUUCAUUCCAUGUAAAAACUUUGAAUUUUAGUAAAUCCGUGAAUGGAGGGGCAAGAAUGGCAUAACCGUGUAUAAAUUUGUGAUAAAACUCGGUAAUUCCCAAAAAAACGCGGAGAGUGGUGAGAGAGGUAGGUUUGGGCCAAAGAAGUAUGGCCUGAAUCUUGUCUGGGUCAGGAGCAACAGUCCCUGCUUGAAUGAUAUGGCCCAAAUAGAAAACCCUAGACGUUGCAAACAUGCACUUAGAUUCUUUGACAAAAAAUUGUUGUCUUGAAGUAAUUAGAGAGUAAUGGUAAGGUGUUGGAUAUGCUCUGACAUGGAUUUACUGUAGAUAAGGAUGUCAUAAAUAAACUAGCACAAAUUGUCUUAGAUGCGGUCUUAGGAGGUCGUUCAUGGCCGCUUGAAA
rnacentral:lncRNA from 1 species